rnacentral:rRNA from 1 species
UCCGUAGGUGAACAUGCGGAGGGAUCAUUACUGAGUUACCGCUCAUCAACCCUUAGUGAACAUACCUUAACUGUUGCUUCGGCGGGUAGGCGUCCCCUAAGAAGGACGUCUCCCGGCCCUCUCCAGUCGGCGGGUGGGGCGCCCGCCGGAGGAUAACCAAACUCUGAUUGAACGACGUUUCUUCUGAGUGACACAAGUAGAUAAUCAAAACUUAUAACAACGGAUCUCUUGGUUCUGGCAUCGAUGAAGAACGCAGCGAAAUGCGAUAAGUUAUGUGAAUUGCAGAAUUCAGUGAAUCAUCGAAUCUUUGAACGCACAUUGCGCCAGCCAGCAUUCUGGCGGGCAUGCCUGUUCGAGCGUCAUUUCAACCCUCAAGCUCUGCUUGGUGUUGGUGCUCUACGGUUGACGUAGGCCCUUAAAGGUAGUGGCGGACCCUCUCGGAGCCUCCUUUGCGUAGUAACAUUUCGUCUCGCAUUGGGAUUCGGAGGGACUCUAGCCGUAAAACCCCCAAUUGUACUAAGGUUGACCUCGGAUCAGGUAGGAAUACCCGCUGAACUUAAGCAUAUCAAUAAGCGGAGGA